UACGAAGGGGGCUAGCGUUGCUCGGAAUCACUGGGCGUAAAGGGUGCGUAGGCGGGUCUUUAAGUCAGGGGUGAAAUCCUGGAGCUCAACUCCAGAACUGCCUUUGAUACUGAGGAUCUUGAGUUCGGGAGAGGUGAGUGGAACUGCGAGUGUAGAGGUGAAAUUCGUAGAUAUUCGCAAGAACACCAGUGGCGAAGGCGCUCACUGGCCCGAUACUGACGCUGAGGCACGAAAGCGUGGGGAGCAAACAGG
rnacentral:rRNA from 1 species